rnacentral:rRNA from 1 species
AACGAACGCUGGCGGCAGGCCUAACACAUGCAAGUCGAGCGCGCCCUUCGGUGUGUGCGGCGGACGGGUGAGUAACGCGUGGGAACGUGUCCUUCUCUGCGGAAUAGCCUCGGGAAACUGAGAGUAAUACCGCAUACGCCCUUUCGGGGACAGAUUUAUCGGAGAAGGAUCGGCCCGCGUUGGAUUCGGUAGUUGGUGUGGGAAUGGCCCACCAAGCCGACGCUCCGUAGCUGGGGAGAGAGGAUGAUCAGCCACACUGGGAGUGAGACACGGCCCGGACUCCUACGGGAGGCAGCAGUGGGGGAUCUUGGAAUGUGGGGGGAACGCUGAACGAGCCAGGCCGCGUGAGUGAUGAUGGCCUUAGAGUUAUAAAGCUCUUUCAGCUGGGCAGAUAAUGACGGUACCGGCAGAAGAAGCCCCGGCUAACUACGUG